rnacentral:rRNA from 1 species
GACGAACGCUGGCGGCGUGCUUAACACAUGCAAGUCGAACGAGUGGCGAACGGGUGAGUAAUACGUGAGUAACCUGCCCUCUUUUGGGGAUAAGCCUUGGAAACGGGGUCUAAUACCGCAUAAAGGGGGAUGGGCUCGCGGCCUGUUAGCUUGGUGGUGGGGUGAUGGCCUCACAAGGCGGUGACGGGUUGCCGGCCUGAGAGGGUGACCGGCCACAGUGGGACGGGGAUACGUCCCAGGCUCGUACGGGGGGGGGAAUUGGGGGAUAUGGCAGAAUGGGCGAAAGACUGAUGCCGCGACGGCGCGUGGGGGUUUAAGGCUUUAGGGUUGUAAACCUCGUGCGCUAUCUAGCGGGUAGCUGGAGAGGAAGCGCCGGCUAACUACGUGCCAGCAGCCGCGGUAAUAC